GGGGGACAAUUUUGUAAUCAGGGGGAGGCAACACAAGGGGGAAAACCCUAAAAAACUAAACAGCUUCCUCUCCCUCAUGAAGGACCAGCCGGCAGCCCCUGCUGGGUUUUGAUUUUUUUUCAGCCGCCGGCUCCCCCAGAUAUCCCCUUUUGGAUUUUUUUUGCUUCCCCUCAGCAGCGGGCACAAGCAGCAGCCCCUCUCUUGCAAAAAACACAAACCAGGGCACAUCCGUUUUCUCCUUCAUUUUUUUUUCCUCGGUUCCACCGAUCAUCCUCCACUCAAAAGCCAAACAAGCCCUUCCCCUGGUUUUGAAUUUUUUUACAUUGGAACCCCCCUCUUCUUCUUCUUCAGCCCCGAUCCAAACGGAGCCGUCCCCCCCGCUGGUUUUGAUUUCUUUUCUCCAGUCGCCGGCCUCCCCAUUUUUUCUUCUCACAGGCCGACACCGGCCAAACAGUCCCUCUCCCUUCUCCUCCAAAACCGAACCGAUCCCCUCCUGGUCGAUCCAUCCUAGCAGCUGCUUCUCCCCGCAGACCCGUGAUCAUCAACGCCGCCACAGACCCGAUUUCCUCAGCACCAUGACCGGCUAGCCUCACAGACGACAGCAACAAGAUCCACGGGCAACAGCAGCAGGCGAUCUUCCAUCUUCAACCGGCGACAGACCCACGGUCUCCCUCUUCAGUCGCAGGUGCCAUUUCUUCUUCGCCCUCCGAUCAGACCACCGUUUCUCUUCCCCUGGCCGGACAUCCAUCCCAUCGCCACCGUAGCUUCAGCGGCCACGGACGACCUGCAACCGGCAGAGAAUCCCCACAGAGAAGAAGGCGAAACAGAGAGGGGCAGAUCCAAAACGGCGGAGAGAGGAAGGACAGAAAAAAACAGAUCUGAAAAACUAAGAAAAAAUUAAAAUCAACUGCUUUACUUGCGUUUUUUGUGCGUUUGCAGGUGACGGUGGGUGUCACCACCGGCAGAGAAGGGAAGAGAAGGAGAAAACAGGGCAGAUCCGCCCGUUUCCGGCAUGGUCGGCCACUGUUCCUGCGGGUGGCAGAAGGGCAAUGCUGCAAUUUCUGGAGUUUAGAGACUAUUUUGUAAUUUUGUAAAUUAUGUAAUGUAAUUUUUAUUUAGUUUGAAUUGUUUUUAUAAUUUGUAAUGUGAUGUAUAAAAAGAACAAAAAAAAAAGAGAAAAUAAUAAUAGAAAAAGAGUUGUGUGUGUGUUUGGUAUUUGUUUUUCCUAUGUAUGUUGUUGAAUCAAAAGAAAAAAAAUGAAUUUAAUAUUUUAAUUUAUAUGCACAAAUAUCUAAA
rnacentral:lncRNA from 1 species